rnacentral:rRNA from 1 species
GACAGAGGUCUCAAGCGUUAGGCGGAAUCACUGGGCUUAAAGCGUGUGUAGGCGGAUCGUUAAGUGCUUUGUGAAAUCCCACAGCUCAACUGUGGAACUGCUUGGCAUACUGGCGGUCUUGAGCCAUCUAGGGGUCGCUGGAACAAACGGUGGAGCGGUGAAAUGCGUAGAUAUCGUUUGGAACGCUAAUGGUGAAAACAGGCGACUGGGGAUGUGCUGACGCUGAGACACGAAAGCCAGGGGAGCAAACGGG